GACGAACGCUGGCGGCGUGCUUAACACAUGCAAGUCGAACGGAAAGGCCCUGCUUUUGUGGGGUGCUCGAGUGGCGAACGGGUGAGUAAAACGUGAGUAACAUGCCCUUGACUUUGGGAUAACUUCAGGGAAAUGGGGCUAAUACCGGAUAGGAGCUCCUGCUGCAUGGGGGGGGUUGGAAAGUGUCGGCGGUUGUGGAUGGACUCGAGGCUUAUCAGCUUGAUGGUGGGGUAGUGGCUUACAAAGGCUGUGAAGGGUAGCCGGCCUGGGAGGGGGACCGGCCACAUUGGGACUGCGAUACGGCCCAGACUCCUACGGGAGGCAGCAGUGGGGAAUAUUGCGCAAUGGGCGGAAGCCUGAUGCAGCAACGCCGCGUGCGGGAUGACGGCCUUCGGGUUGUAAACCGCUUUCGCCUGUGACGAAGCGUGAGUGACGGUAAUGAGUAAAGAAGCACCGGCUAACUACGUG
rnacentral:rRNA from 1 species